rnacentral:rRNA from 1 species
AAAACACAGCACUCUGCUAACACGAAAGUGGACGUAUAGGGUGUGACGCCUGCCCGGUGCUGGAAGGUUAAUUGAAGAUGUGAGAGCAUCGGAUCGAAGCCCCAGUAAACGGCGGCCGUAACUAUAACGGUCCUAAGGUAGCGAAAUUCCUUGUCGGGUAAGUUCCGACCCGCACGAAUGGCGUAACGAUGGCCACACUGUCUCCUCCUGAGACUCAGCGAAGUUGAAGUGGUUGUGAAGAUGCAAUCUACCCGCUGCUAGACGGAAAGACCCCGUGAACCUUUACUGUAGCUUUGCAUUGGACUUUGAAGUCACUUGUGUAGGAUAGGUGGGAGGCUUAGAAGCAGAGACGCCAGUCUCUGCGGAGCCGUCCUUGAAAUACCACCCUGGUGUCUUUGAGGUUCUAACCCAGACCCGUCAUCCGGGUCGGGGACCGUGCAUGGUAGGCAGUUUGACUGGGGCGGUCUCCUCCCAAAGCGUAACGGAGGAGUUCGAAGGUUACCUAGGUCCGGUCGGAAAUCGGACUGAUAGUGCAAUGGCAAAAGGUAGCUUAACUGCGAGACCGACAAGUCGAGCAGGUGCGAAAGCAGGACAUAGUGAUCCGGUGGUUCUGUAUGGAAGGGCCAUCGCUCAACGGAUAAAAGGUACUCCGGGGAUAACAGGCUGAUUCCGCCCAAGAGUUCAUAUCGACGGCGGAGUUUGGCACCUCGAUGUCGGCUCAUCACAUCCUGGGGCUGUAGUCGGUCCCAAGGGUAUGGCUGUUCGCCAUUUAAAGUGGUACGUGAGCUGGGUUUAAAACGUCGUGAGACAGUUUGGUCCCUAUCUGCAGUGGGCGUUGGAAGUUUGACGGGGGCUGCUCCUAGUACGAGAGGACCGGAGUGGACGAACCUCUGGUGUACCGGUUGUAACGCCAGUUGCAUAGCCGGGUAGCUAAGUUCGGAAGAGAUAAGCGCUGAAAGCAUCUAAGCGCGAAACUCGCCUGAAGAUGAGACUUCCCUUGCGGUUUAACCGCACUAAAGAGUCGUUCGAGACCAGGACGUUGAUAGGUGGGGUGUGGAAGCGCGGUAACGCGUGAAGCUAACCCAUACUAAUUGCUCGUGAGGCUUGACUCU